rnacentral:rRNA from 1 species
GACGAACGCUGGCGGCGUGCCUAAUACAUGCAAGUCGAACGCACUCUGGUAACUGAUUGAAGAAGCUUGCUUCUGAUUGAAGAUACAUUUGAGUGAGUGGCGGACGGGUGAGUAACACGUGGGUAACCUGCCCUAAAGUGGGGGAUAACAUUUGGAAACAGAUGCUAAUACCGCAUAAGACCCAGCACCGCAUGGUGCAAGGUUGAAAGAUGGUUUCGGCUAUCACUUUAGGAUGGACCCGCGGUGCAUUAGUUAGUUGGUGAGGUAAAGGCUCACCAAGACCGUGAUGCAUAGCCGACCUGAGAGGGUAAUCGGCCACACUGGGACUGAGACACGGCCCAGACUCCUACGGGAGGCAGCAGUAGGGAAUCUUCCACAAUGGACGAAAGUCUGAUGGAGCAACGCCGCGUGAGUGAAGAAGGUUUUCGGAUCGUAAAACUCUGUUGUUGGAGAAGAACGUAUCUAAUAGUAACUGAUUAGGUAGUGACGGUAUCCAACCAGAAAGCCACGGCUAACUACGUGCCAGCAGCCGCCGUAAAAC